AAAGCAUGUUUGAGCAUGUUUGUUGCUUUUAAUUAUGGCACAGUAAUUAUAAGGGCAGCUAAAAUGAUCUUGCAUAACUAAAUGCUAUGUAUUUUUGUGCUUCAGGGCGGUUUUUGAAUAGUUUUUGGGGUGCAAACCAUCAGCUGUAUCUGGCAACCCUGCAGCAGCUCGCUCCUGCUCUCUGAUUGGCUCAUUUCACCAACAGAACUCUGGGAGAAAACAACAGGUGAAACUUCCGGUGUGACGAACAGACCGGCCGUUAAUGAGUGUUUGUUUAACGGGACGGUCGGCGGCAGAGACCGAGACCGGAGUCAACAUCUAUAACACCAAAAACUGCCUUUGAAAUAAUCCCCAGCGGCUGGAGAGGUCACAAAAGAAAUGGAUCAGAGACCAGAGUCAAGUUUUCCUCCAGAUUUGGGGCUCGGGGCCCCAGCGGGGCCUCUUGGUCCGUCCUCUCAGCUGACCCCCCCACCGCCCUCCAGCAGCCGCAGCGAUGCAGCCGAUAACUCUGCGGUUUGUACCGUUUAUUCUCUCAUCGAUCAGGUUUGUGUCGUUUGAUGGUUUCCUCGUACAAAGAGCUGCUCUUAGUGACAAAAUUCUA